rnacentral:lncRNA from 1 species
CAGAAUCAGCAACUGUCCAAUGGUCUGGCCCGCACAGCAGGAGUCAUGAUAAGUUAUUGUAGAAGAAUUUAGGUUUGGAAAUGGGUCUUGAUAUGAAAGCCAGUGAGAGAGAAAGAGCAAAAAGAUUGAACAGGAGAAUCUGGAACCAGGAGUGAGCAGAGCUGGCCCCAGGCCUUGGUGGCUGUGUACUAGUUCUGUGACCUGCAAUCAGUCACUUAACUUCUGUGAGCUCCUCUCUUUCCGUCUGUAAAAAAGGAAUAUGUACUACCCACUUCCUGAGUAGAUGUUGAAGAUGUUGUAAAAGGUUCGAGUCAACCAAUUAAAAGCAAUAGAUCACAUGAAGAUGAGUAUAUCUUCUGUUUGUUGGGACAUAAUCCAGAGAGGAUCUUUCUCCCCAGAUAUUAUGGGAUGGCCAC